rnacentral:rRNA from 18 species
UAGUGGCGAACGGGUGAGUAACACGUGGGCAAUCUGCCCUGCACUCUGGGACAAGCCCUGGAAACGGGGUCUAAUACCGGAUACGAGCCUCCCGGGCAUCUGGGAGGUUGGAAAGCUCCGGCGGUGCAGGAUGAGCCCGCGGCCUAUCAGCUUGUUGGUGAGGUAACGGCUCACCAAGGCGACGACGGGUAGCCGGCCUGAGAGGGCGACCGGCCACACUGGGACUGAGACACGGCCCAGACUCCUACGGGAGGCAGCAGUGGGGAAUAUUGCACAAUGGGCGAAAGCCUGAUGCAGCGACGCCGCGUGAGGGAUGACGGCCUUCGGGUUGUAAACCUCUUUCAGCAGGGAAGAAGCGAAAGUGACGGUACCUGCAGAAGAAGCGCCGGCUAACUACGUGCCAGCAGCCGCGGUAAUACGUAGGGCGCAAGCGUUGUCCGGAAUUAUUGGGCGUAAAGAGCUCGUAGGCGGCUUGUCGCGUCGAUUGUGAAAGCCCGGGGCUUAACUCCGGGUCUGCAGUCGAUACGGGCAGGCUAGAGUGUGGUAGGGGAGAUCGGAAUUCCU